rnacentral:sRNA from 1 species
UACAAAACGAUGGUGCAUUAUUCUAGUCAUACUAUUAUUAUGAGGGUGGGGCUAAAAAUCCACUAAAGGGCACAUCGUUGAAGUUUCUUAUGUGUGCGCAAAAUGCCAGUUUUGUGUGCAUAUAGGAAGUAAGAAGUUAGGGUAGUAUGUAAUGGCAUAUAUAUGAUUCCCUGAUUUCGCGGAGGCUUAUAAAUUUUAUUUACGAAGUAAACUUUAGUAGUAAAAUAAUCUUUUAAGUAUAACCUAUGUUGAGUGCCAAGACACGAAAUACAUAUGGUAGCCUGUUUUGAGUGAUUAUAUCGGGAUUAAUUAGAUAUUUUGUAAUAAAUAUUGGCCAUAUUUUUAUAAAAUAGAUUAUGAAAUUAUACUUGCAAAAGAAACUAAUAAUAAUUUAAAGUAUGUUAAAGGAAAACUUCUAGAAUGUUUGUUUGAUAUUAAAACAUAGAAAUCUAGGGAUUAAGGUACGGAUUUAAGUGGCGAUCUGGUGUCUAAAUAAAUUAGAUGUUUUCUUUAAAUGGAAACAGCUAUGUAGUAAUAUAUAGUAGAAAAUAGAGAAAUUCAACCAGACCUAAACCGUAAAAUUUACUUAGGUUUUGACCAUCUAUUUUUAUUUU